rnacentral:misc_RNA from 1 species
GAUGAAGAACGUAGCGAAAUGCGAUACUUGGUGUGAAUUGCAGAAUCCCGUGAACCAUCGAGUCUUUGAACGCAAGUUGCGCCCGAAGCCUCGGCUAAGGGCACGUCUGCCUGGGCGUCACGCAUCGCGUCUCCCCCAAACCGCCAAGGCGGAGGGGAAGGAAGAUGGCUUCCCGUGCCUCACCCGGGCGCGGUUGGCCUAAAUUUGGAGCCCGCGGCACUUAGCUCUCGCGGCGAUAGGUGGUGAACAAGGCCUUGGCCGUGCAAACAACCCGCUGCGAAGCUCUAUGUCACGUGCGCUCGUCGGACCCUUUGAAGUUGCCUUCGGUGACUUAAAACCUUUGCGACCCCAGGUCAGGCGGGGCUACCCGCUGAAUUUAAGCAUAUCAAAAGCGGAGGA